GCGCCCAUAGCUCAGUUGGAUAGAGCACAAGAUUGCGGUUCUUGGGGUCAGAGGUUCGAAUCCUCUUGGGCGCGCCA
rnacentral:tRNA from 1 species